CUCGGCGUCUGGGUGGCCAGGCUGUUCCGACUCGGCCCUGACGUCACACGCACCACAGCCGGAAGUAGCCUUCUGUCGUCAGCGCGGGCCUCCAGCCCCACCCAUCCGCGCCGGUGUUGAAAUUCCUGGGACUGGAGGAAUAGGCCAGGGGAAGAAUGUCUCUAACUCAUACCUACAAAGCAACCCUACGUACUAUUAGAUGGUCUUACCAUGCUCCUUAAAGGGAAGGUGUCAGCAAACUACAGUUUGUGAACUAAAUCCAGCCUUCUACCUGUUUUUGAAAAUAAAAUUUUAUUGGGAC